UACGAGGGGGGCAAGCGUUGCUCGGAAUUAUUGGGCGUAAAGGGUGCGUAGGCGGUUUGGUAAGUCUUAUGUGAAAUCUACAGGCUCAACUUGUAGUCUGCAUGAGAAACUGCCGGGCUUGAGUAUGGGAGAGGUGAGUGGAAUUCCUGGUGUAGCGGUGAAAUGCGUAGAUAUCAGGAGGAACACCUGUGGCGAAAGCGGCUCACUGGACCAUAACUGACGCUGAUGCACGAAAGCUAGGGGAGCAAACAGG
rnacentral:rRNA from 1 species